UGGGGAAUAUUGCACAAUGGGCGCAAGCCUGAUGCAGCCAUGCCGCGUGUAUGAAGAAGGCCUUCGGGUUGUAAAGUACUUUCAGCGGGGAGGAAGGGAGUACAGUUAAUACCUUUGCUCAUUGACGUUACCCGCAGAAGAAGCACCGGCUAACUCCGUGCCAGCAGCCGCGGUAAUACGGAGGGUGCAAGCGUUAAUCGGAAUUACUGGGCGUAAAGCGCACGCAGGCGGUUUGUUAAGUCAGAUGUGAAAUCCUCGGGCUCAACCUGGGAACUGCAUCUGAUACUGGCAAGCUUGAGUCUCGUAGAGGGGGGUAGAAUUCCAGGUGUAGCGGUGAAAUGCGUAGAGAUGUGGAGGAAUACCGGUGGCGAAGGCGGCCCCCUGGACAAAGACUGACGCUCAGGUGCGAAAGCGUGGGGAGCAAACAGG
rnacentral:rRNA from 1 species